rnacentral:rRNA from 1 species
UACGGAGGGUGCGAGCGUUGUCCGGAAUCAUUGGGCGUAAAGGGCGCGUAGGUGGCGGGACAAGCGUGCGGUGAAAGCCUGGGGCUCAACCCCGGGUCGGCCGUGCGAACUGUUUUGCUUGAGCACUGUAGAGGCAGGCGGAAUUCCGGGUGUAGCGGUGGAAUGCGUAGAUAUCUGGAGGAACACCGGUGGCGAAGGCGGCGUUCUGGACUGCAACUGACACUGAGGAACGAAAGCCAGGGGAGCAAACGGG